rnacentral:misc_RNA from 1 species
UUUUUCUUCAUUUUUGUGAAUCUUUUUUGUGUUUCUUGAGUACCCUUUUGAGUAUUUGAUUGUUUUGUGUCAAUCUUUUUGUGUUUUUUGAGGACCCUUUUGAGUAUUUGUUAGUUUUUGUUUGUGAAUUCAAAGGGAUGGUUGUGAAAAUGAUGAAGUGGAGGCCAUGGCCUGAAAUAGCUUCAAAGAAAUUUGAGGCUAAAAUCACUGUGAA